rnacentral:lncRNA from 1 species
CAUUUUAUUUUCAUUUCUUGUUUUCUAAUUCUUAUUUUUAUUUUAUUCUGUUUUGCUUUAAUUAUUUAAAAAUAUUUUAUUUGUUCAUAAAAAUGCCAAAAAAUAUUUUUUACUUUCCUUAUUGUCUUAUUUAAUUUAUUUUAAUUUUUAUUUUCGUUUUUAUUUAAUGCUAAUAUUUUAUUUCAAUUAUUUGUUUCAAAUAAG